GCCCCAGACUCCUACGGGAGGCAGCAGUGGGGAAUAUUGCACAAUGGGGGAAACCCUGAUGCAGCGACGCCGCGUGAGCGAUGAAGUCUUUCGGAAUGUAGGGCUAUAUCAGCAGGGAAGAAAAUGACGGUACCUGACUAAGAAGCACCGGCUAACUCCGUGCCAGCAGCCGCGGUAAUACGGAGGGUGCAAGCGUUACUCGGAAUCACUGGGCGUAAAGAGCGCGUAGGCGGGAUAGCAAGUCAGAUGUGAAAUCCUAUGGCUUAACCAUAGAACUGCAUUUGAAACUGUUAUUCUAGAGUAUGGGAGAGGUAGGUGGAAUUCUUGGUGUAGGGGUAAAAUCCGUAGAGAUCAAGAGGAAUACUCAUUGCGAAGGCGACCUGCUAGAACAUAACUGACGCUGAUGCGCGAAAGCGUGGGGAGCAAACAGGAUUAGAUACCCCCGUAA
rnacentral:rRNA from 1 species